rnacentral:rRNA from 1 species
AGCAUGCCGCGCUUCAAGUCGGUACCGAUGGGAGCUUGCUCCCUGAUGUUAGCGGCGGACGGGUGAGUAACACGUGGGUAACCUGCCUGUAAGACUGGGAUAACUCCGGGAAACCGGGGCUAAUACCGGAUGGUUGUUUGAACCGCAUGGUUCAGACAUAAAAGGUGGCUUCGGCUACCACUUACAGAUGGACCCGCGGCGCAUUAGCUAGUUGGUGAGGUAACGGCUCACCAAGGCGACGAUGCGUAGCCGACCUGAGAGGGUGAUCGGCCACACUGGGACUGAGACACGGCCCAGACUCCUACGGGAGGCAGCAGUAGGGAAUCUUCCGCAAUGGACGAAAGUCUGACGGAGCAACGCCGCGUGAGUGAUGAAGGUUUUCGGAUCGUAAAGCUCUGUUGUUAGGGAAGAACAAGUGCCGUUCAAAUAGGGCGGCACCUUGACGGUACCUAACCAGAAAGCCACGGCUAACUACGUGCCAGCAGCCGCGGUAAUACGUAGGUGGCAAGCGUUGUCCGGAAUUAUUGGGCGUAAAGGGCUCGCAGGCGGUUUCUUAAGUCUGAUGUGAAAGCCCCCGGCUCAACCGGGGAGGGUCAUUGGAAACUGGGGAACUUGAGUGCAGAAGAGGAGAGUGGAAAUUCCACGUGUAGCGGUGAAAUGCGUAGAGAUGUGGAGGACCACCAGUGGCGAAGGCGACUCUCUGGUCUGUAACUGACGCUGAGGAGCGAAAGCGUGGGGGAGCCGAACAGGAAUAGAUACCCUGGUAGUCCCACGCCCGUAA